AGCUCCCCACAGAAAGACAGACUCUUUCGCCAGCACAUUUAAGAAUCUAAAUGAGGCCAAGUGCCAAGCAGAUAAAGGGACUCUACUUGCUGCACAGUAAAUAAAACGGAGGCAGGAGGACACCUGCAUCAAACAAUACUUUCUGAGGGGAUGACAACAAGAUUUCAGAGAAUUCAGAUCCUGACUUUCCUGCCUCACCAGGUACAACCCAAGUCACCAGAGCUCAUAAAAGAUGUGUGUGCUGUCGCAUCUAUGUGAAGUAUUUCCAUGACCCGAGCAUUGACCACAGGACUGUGCUGGAGGAAACUGGAUCAAGGUACCAAGAAAAUAGAAAGAUGACAGGAAAAGGAAGACAGAAAGAAGAGAAGGGAGGAAGGAAGAAAAAAUGAAGGAAGAAACAUAUGGACUAAUGGAAGAAAAAUGCAGGAACAGACCCUAAUUGGCAGGAUGGGAAAUGAACCAAUUGAACAGGGUCGGAACCUAGGAAAACCAGCUAAUGGAGGUGGAGCCAGCCCCUGGGAGAAAGACACAACCAGCUACACGUCUCAGUAAGAAGUCCAGUCCAGCAGACGGCACUCUUUAUCUGGAAACUAUGGCAACAGACAGCAUCAGUCUUCACACGGAGAUCGAAACAAGCAGAUAGGUAGACACGAAGUCAGCUAUGGGACAAUUAAAAGGUCUUGGGUCUGAGACAGGAAUAAGAAUUUCAGCCCUUAUUUGUGUGGGACAAUAGUUGUUUAGUGUGUGUAAGAAUUACAUUGAGUCCCAAUUAAAAAUGGAGAGUCUCAGUCAUCAUCUACAGAGUUUUUUAAUCUUUAAGUGUAGUACAGAAUUUUAAUAAGUUCUUUGACGAUUCUGAUGUGGAUGACUUUAGGAUCACGCUAGGGGAAACUUAAGUGUAGAGAAACAGGCAAUGGCAAGGCAGACCCCAACACUAGAGAAACUGAGUCACUUGGAAAGUUAAUCAGAGAAAGACUCAGGACCUAGGAUUCAGUUAGCACAACUGCAAUGCUAGGAUUCUGAGCCUCAGAAAACAAGACAAAAUCCCCCAGUCCUCUGGACUAUUAGGGAAAUUAAGCCAUUCUGCAGGGGAUAGUUCAGGCUUCAAAAAGAAAUGAAUCAAAUGUACAUAAAAAAAGAUAUGUUUUCAUAAGCGCAAGAAAAAUACUGAUUAUUUUGACCAAGAGUUUGGUGCCCUUUGCCCCUCCCUCUCAUCUAUUCAUUCGGGUAGGCAUUCAUUUAUUCAUUUAUGUAUUGACUCCACCGUGACUCCUGCUUCUAUUGCUCCAACUAUGAUCUCACUCCUGAAUCCAAGAACUACAUGUAAAAAUCCUCUUAAGAACUUGACAUAUACAAAGUCUAAUUCAAUAUCUUUCUUUUCAUCUCCAAAUUAACUUUAUCUCCUAAAUUCCUAUUAUCUAAAGGAUCAAGAAAGACAAUGAGAAUCACGUUUUAUAUCUGCAUGUCAUGAACUAGAAUACCAAGAAGUUUACCUAUAUUUUCUAUGAUAACUGGUAGAGGGGCAAGAGUUUUCUGGCCAUUUUACUCAUCUUGAAACAAAGACUUGAAGAUGAUGUGUAAUUCACAAAGAGAAAGAGACAGGAUCCCUGUAGUCAUUAUUCCCAGCUUAGAGCUCUUUUAUUUGGCCUCCCAUUGGUGAAUUGAGUGUCUCUGGUGUGGUUUUGAAAUGGGAAGUGCAGAGUUACCUACCAGGUCAUCUCCAAUAAUAGUCUAGUGUAGUGCCCCAAAUUCUUCUACUUGCAGUUCAUUCUUUAGAAACCUUCUUUUUAAAUAUAAAUAAAUGCCAUUGCCAAAGUAAAUAUGCAAUUACAUCAACAGCUUUCAAACCAAAUUUCCAGGACCCUUAGCAGUUCCCUGAACAUUUCCUCGGAGGUGCACCAGAAAGGGCAGGACACACCAGCCCUUGAGCCCACCAAUACCACCAGCACCACCAGCUUCAGUAAGAGGAGUUACUUUUCCCCCUGCUAAGUUUAAGGAGCUUCAAUGCAAAAGCAUUUACAGAAAAUGUACUUUACCAUCAGAAUGUUAAAAAUCAUUUGUAAGAGUGGAAAAAAACUAGAAACAGCCUAAAUGCCUAUCAUCCUAAAUUAUAGUACAUCCACACAAUGAAAUGACAAGGAAGCUGUUAAAAAGGAGAGGUAGACCUAUAUAUUCUGAUGUGGAAACAAAUCUGGACACAUCUUUAAAUGGAAAAGUCAAGUAGCAGGUGAGUAUCUAUGGUGUGGUUCUAAAUGUGUUUAAAAUAUACAUUUAUAUGCUUGUGUAUACAUAAACUAGUUUGGGAAAGACAUAAUUUCUGGCCUGGAAAUUGUGACUUGGAGUUUGG
rnacentral:lncRNA from 10 species